rnacentral:rRNA from 1 species
GGAGCUUGCUCCUGCUGGAUUAGUGGCGAACGGGUGAGUAACACGUGAGUAACCUGCCCUUGACUCUGGGAUAAGCGUUGGAAACGACGUCUAAUACCGGAUACGAGCUAGGACCGCAUGGUCACUAGCUGGAAAGAACUUUGGUCAAGGAUGGACUCGCGGCCUAUCAGCUAGUUGGUGAGGUAACGGCCCACCAAGGCGACGACGGGUAGCCGGCCUGAGAGGGUGACCGGCCACACUGGGACUGAGACACGGCCCAGACUCCUACGGGAGGCAGCAGUGGGGAAUAUUGCACAAUGGGCGCAAGCCUGAUGCAGCAACGCCGCGUGAGGGACGACGGCCUUCGGGUUGUAAACCUCUUUUAGCAGGGAAGAAGCGAAAGUGACGGUACCUGCAGAAAAAGCACCGGCUAACUACGUGCCAGCAGCCGCGGUAAUACGUAGGGUGCAAGCGUUGUCCGGAAUUAUUGGGCGUAAAGAGCUCGUAGGCGGUUUGUCGUGUCUGCUGUGAAAAUCCGAGGCUCAACCUCGGACCUGCAGUGGGUACGGGCAAACUAGAGUGCGGUAGGGGAGAUUGGAAUUCCUGGUGUAGCGGUGGAAUGCGCAGAUAUCAGGAGGAACACCAAUGGCGAAGGCAGAUCUCUGGGCCGUAACUGACGCUGAGGAGCGAAAGCGUGGGGAGCGAACAGGAUUAGAUACCC